CUGGGCGUAAGGGUGCGUAGGCGGAUAUUUAAGUCAGAUGUGAAAACCCCGGGCUUAACUUGGGGACUGCAUUUGAAACUGGAUAUCUAGAGUGCAGGAGAGGAAAGCGGAAUUCCUAGUGUAGCGGUGAAAUGCGUAGAGAUUAGGAAGAACACCAGUGGCGAAGGCGGCUUUCUGGACUGUAACUGACGCUGAGGCACGAAAGCGUGGGUAGCAAACAGGAUUAGAUACCCUGGUAGUCCACGCCGUAAACGAUGAGUACUAGGUGUAGGAGGUAUCGACCCCUUCUGUGCCGCAGUAAACACAAUAAGUACUCCGCCUGGGAAGUACGAUCGCAAGAUUAAAACUCAAAGGAAUUGACGGGGGCCCGCACAAGCAGCGGAGCAUGUGGUUUAAUUCGAAGCAACGCGAAGAACCUUACCUGGACUUGACAUCCCCUGAAUAACCUAGAGAUAGGCGAAGCCCUUCGGGGCAGGGAGACAGGUGGUGCAUGGUUGUCGUCAGCUCGUGUCGUGAGAUGUUAGGUUAAGUCCUGCAACGAGCGCAACCCCUAUUGUUAGUUGCUAACAUUAAGUUGAGCACUCUAAUAAGACUGCCCGGGUUAACCGGGAGGAAGGUGGGGAUGACGUCAAAUCAUCAUGCCCCUUAUGUCCAGGGCCACACACGUGCUACAAUGGUGAGUACAACAAGAAGCGAACCCGCGAGGGGGAGCAAAACUUAUAAAACUCAUCCCAGUUCGGAUUGUAGGCUGAAACUCGCCUACAUGAAGCUGGAGUUGCUAGUAAUCGCGAAUCAGCAUGUCGCGGUGAAUACGUUCCCGGGCCUUGUACACACCGCCCGUCACACCAUGAGAGCUGGCAACACCCGAAGUCCGUGAGAUAACCUUUAUGGAGUCAGCGGC
rnacentral:rRNA from 1 species